GGCACAUAUUUUUUCAAGCUCUUCGUUUCGUGAAGUUUGCAUAUAUGGUGAAGUUUGACUUGCAUCCUUGAGAGCUCCAGUGCCAACUGCAUCUUGGGCACACUGUGAAGUUUGCAUAUAUGGUGAAGUUUGACUUGCAUCCUUGAGAGCUCCAGUCAAAAUUUGAACCAUUACAGUCAACUGUCAUUUUUUCUGUUGGAAUUCAGACAAAAGAAGCAUAUGCCGUAAUGUCCUGGACUGGAGGAGCUGCCCAGUUCUGCAUCGACCAUCCGUUAGUUUGGCCGCUCAUUCACUUCUUUUAGAAAGGGGAAGAAAGAUCCAUACUAAAGCACCGAUUUUUUCCAUGCAUGUGUGGCAUCAGUGACCAGGUUAUUUGUUCAUAAGUCCACUCUCAAAGUCUCAAGCUUCAGAGUUUCAGUUCAGAUUUAGCAGAUCAAUUUCAACCAACAGUGGAUUUAGACGUUGGCAUUAAUUCAGAGCUCGGUUGGUAAAAACAGAAGCAUCUGUCCGGAUGUCUCGUUGGAGAGCGGAGCGGUUGUGCAUAAUCGACCAUUUCAAAGCUGUGUGUUGUCUUCAGAGUUUCAGCUCUAAUUUUGCUUCACGGGAGAGGAAGAUGAAGAGCCUCAGAAGUCGGUGUUCAGAAGCUAAGUUGGUUGUUACAUGACAUCCAAACAGCAAGAGUAACCUGCAAAGAGCCUCAGUCUUGAUGUCUAAACGGAGAGCUGCGCACGUGCAUUCACCGUUUCAAAGUUUGCUUGCAUUGCAUGGUAAAAUUUGAAGACACGACCUGGGGAUAGCUGAUUGAUUGACCUACAGGUCUCAGAUCAUGCAAGUCUUUUCAUUGGUUCCUCGGAGUAUCGGUCGAUUCGCUUGUCUGCACGCGCAUUGGAGGACUUCCUAGUGACUGGGCAGCUUCUGUUUCACGACAUAAUCAAUUUGGGUGCAAGAGCAAUUUCUUCUCUGUUCAGGUUGAUUAUAGCAAAUUUUUUUGGAAAGGAGGCGCUUGCCCAGCCUUAGACUGAGGCCCUUACAAAUCCAACAGGUCCGCCAAAGAGGCACCAACAUCUUGUGCAGACUUUGUAGAUCGCUUGAUGGUGAUGUUUCACUUCCAUCCGCCAGAGUUUCAUUACCAGUUCGACAG